GCAGGGAUCCGCGGAUGCUGUGACAAGGGGCGGGCGAGGGAGGGCUCCGCGUCAGGGGCAGACAGCUCCAGGUGCUGGAGGCUGCCGCGCGGAGAGGUCCGCCCAGCCAGGAUGUGCGUUGUCCUGAGAAUCGAAUUACCCGGAACCCCAGAGCUCACCCUCUCUGAAGGAGAGCAGGUGCCUCCUGAGAGCAGGGCUUCUCUACCUUGGGGCACUAUGAACAUUCUGAGUGGGGCGCCCUGAACGAGUGCCCAGAUGCUUGUGAGGCCCAGAUCUUGGGGUGUGCAGCCAGGAAGGGCUCUGCUAGCUUUCCCACCUCCCUCCUGACCUCUUCUGCCCCUCACUGGACCCAGCCCGUUGGCUUCAGGAUGGGCCCCACGGGACAUGCUUUCAUGGAACCUGAGGAAAGAAUGCACUUACAACAGCGCCGGGAGCACAGAGGCUUCCCACUACCCUUUCCGAGAAGCACGUCUAUUUUCUCUAAUUUAUUCAGUGCCGCUGUGCGUGUGUGGCCUCUCAGGUAAAGAGUGAUUUCAGCUAACAUGCACCAUGCCUGCCACCUACCUGUACUGGAGAUUUCAGACUGAUGCCUCCCUUGGGUCUCCAGGGAACUUUCUGAUUCAAAUUCCAUUUGACACAGAUUCUGAAAGUGUGCCUUGCGAGGGCCCUGGCCUGCCAUCCUCAUUAUACUCAGAAGCCCAGAAGUAGCAGUGGCAGGGGCACCCUGGAAGCCCCGGGGUUCUCAUUAGGUGACAGAUGCCACCACAGGCCUCUGCCAUUUGCCAAGCUUCCUAUUACAAGCCACCUGGGAACAUUCACUCAGGGCUUUUUCAGACAGAGCUGCACAUCUGGCACUAUCUUGAGUCUGUGCCUCUGGGGACCCCGUCUGUACUCAGUUUCCCUAUCUGCAAAAUGAAAAACAUAAUACUUAUUUCUCAGGGAUGAAUAGAGAUAAUUCAGCAUGUUUUUCAAAUUUCAGUGUGUUGCCUGCGCCCUCAUGAGUUUUACUAUGACCACAUGCCACCUGUACCAUUAUGUUUAUUUUAUUUUUUAGAGAUGGAAGGUCUCAUUCUGUUGCCCAGGCUGUAGGGCAGUGGUGCUAUCCGUAGUUCACUGCAUCUUCAAACUCCCGGGCUCAAGGGAUCCUCUCACCUUAGUCUCUAGUACUACAGGUACACACUACCAAACUUGGCUGACUCCUUUAUUUAUAUAGAGAUGAGGUCUCGCUAUGUUGCCUAGGCAGCUCUGGAACUCCUGGCCUCAAGCCAUACUCCCAUCUUGGCCUCCCAAACUGUUGGGAUUACAGACAUAAGCCACCACACCCAACUUCAUUAUUUAUUUAAUUAAUAUUUCCUUAAAUGAAUCCAUGUUGAAAGACUUGAGCUGAUCUAUUUCAAAAGGAAAUUUUUAUAUUAUUAGCAUUAGAGGAAAAUUGAUAUCACUUGUCACAAAUGCAAAGCAAUAAGAAAAGACAAAGAAGACGACGUCAUAACUGUUUAUCUGUGUACCAACUAAACUCAUGAUGAAGAGCCAUGCUGUGCCUCCUGUGCUUUUGGAAGCACAUGAAUAUAAAGGAUGCCUAGGGUCUGGCACAUAGUAAGUACUCAAUGAAUGAUCACUGCUAUGAAGAAAAUGAGGCCAACGUGGUGUCGGCCCUUGGAAACAUUUCUCUGAGUUGGUCAAGGGGAACAAUUUUGCUCCAAGAAACUGUCAUAUUUAUUCUUCUCUGAUAAUUAGAGCUCCACAAUUUAUCAUGGUCGUAAGUUGCAAAAAUGGCAACAACCAUCACUCUUCCCAAUAAGAAGUGAAGUCCAUUUCCUGCCCCUAAAAUCUGGUCUGGCCUUGUGACUUGCUUCAGCCAAUGGAACAUAGCAGGAGUGCUGGUAUACCAGUUCUAAGCCUAGAGGAAGAGGCUUUCCAAGGGGCCUGACAGCUUCUGCUUUCUCGGGCCCCUGCUAUCACCAUGUGAACAAGCCUGGGUUGGCCUGCUGCUGGAUGAGAGGCCAUGUAGAACCCAGCCAAGGUGUCCCAGUUAAGGCCAUCUCAGAGCAGCCAGCACCCAGCACCCAGCAGCCUGCCAUUGGUCUCCAGAUGCACGCAUGAGCCCAACCAAGAUCAGCCAAUCCUGCCUCAGACCAGCAGAACUGUGCAGCCCAGCCUGAGAUUUGUGAGGAGUGACAAAUGGUGUUUUCAGCUUCUAGAUGUUGGGGAGAUUUGUUAUGCAGCAACAGCUGGCCUUCCCAUUUUGUCUUGUUUGUUGCGAUGGUGCCCAGUCAUAGCAGCUCCAUUUGUGCUAGAAUUAUUUAUCUAUUUCCUCUUCUUAAUUGUCUUCCCUUCCUUUUUCACUCCUUUGUGUGUGUUUUUGAAAGACACCUCAAGUAUCUUUGGAAAGGAGCUGGAUAUAGAUAAUAAAUUGAAAAUCGAACUGA
rnacentral:lncRNA from 1 species